AACGAACGCUGGCGGCAUGCCUAACACAUGCAAGUCGAACGAGACCUUCGGGUCUAGUGUCGCACGGGUGCGUAACGCGUUGGAACCUGCCCUUAGGUUCGGAAUAACUCCCCGAAAGGGGUGCUAAUACCUGAUAAUGUCUUCGGACCAAAGAUUUAUCGCCUUUGGAUGGGCCCGCGUUGUAUUAGCUCGUUGGUAGGGUAAAAGACUACCAAGGCGACGAUCCAUAGCUGGUCUGUGAGGAUGAGCAGCCACACUGGGACUGAGACACGGCCCAGACUCCUACGGGAGGCAGCAGUGGGGAAUAUUGGACAAUGGGCGAAAGCCUGAUCCAGCAAUGCCGCGUGAGUGAUGAAGGCCUUAGGGUUGUAAAGCUCUUUUACCCGGGAUGAUAAUGACAGUACCGGGAGAAUAAGCUCCGGCUAACUCCGUG
rnacentral:rRNA from 1 species